AUUGAACGCUGGCGGCAGGCCUAACACAUGCAAGUCGAACGAGUGGCGGACGGGUGAGUAAUGUCUGGGAAACUGCCUGAUGGAGGGGGAUAACUACUGGAAACGGUAGCUAAUACCGCAUACCAUCGGAUGUGCCCAGCUGGGAUUCGCUAUUAGUGGGGGUAAAGGCUCACCUAGGCGACGAUCCCUAGCUGGUCUGAGAGGAUGACCAGCCACGUUGGAACUGGGACACGGUCCGGACUCCUGCGGGAGGCAGCAGUGGGGGAUAUUGCACAAUGGGCGCAAGCCUGAUGCAGCCAUGCCGCGUGUAUGAAGAAGGCCUUCGGGUUGUAAAGUACUUUCAGCGGGGAGGCGUUACCCGCAGAAGAAGCACCGGCUAACUCCGUGCCAGCAGCCGCGGUAAUUC
rnacentral:rRNA from 1 species